UACAGAGGGGGCAAGCGUUGUUCGGAAUUACUGGGCGUAAAGGGCGCGUAGGCGGCCGCCUAAGUCAGACGUGAAAUCCCUCGGCUCAACCGGGGAACUGCGUCUGAUACUGGGUGGCUUGAAUUCGGGAGAGGGAUGCGGAAUUCCAGGUGUAGCGGUGAAAUGCGCAGAUAUCAGGAAGAACACCCGUGGCUAAGGCGGUUCUCUAGUACGGUACUGACGCUGAGACGCGAAAGCGUGGGGAGCGAACAGG
rnacentral:rRNA from 1 species